GGAGAGAUGGUAGAGUGGUCGAUUACAACGGUCUUGAAAACCGUCGUGCUGAAAGGCACCGGGGGUUCGAAUCCCUCUCUCUCCG
rnacentral:tRNA from 2 species